rnacentral:rRNA from 1 species
GAACCUGCCUCAAAGAGGGGGACAACAGUUGGAAACGACUGCUAAUACCGCAUAAGCCCACGGGUCGGCAUCGACCAGAGGGAAAAGGAGCAAUCCGCUUUGAGAUGGCCUCGCGUCCGAUUAGCUAGUUGGUGAGGUAACGGCCCACCAAGGCAACGAUCGGUAGCCGGACUGAGAGGUUGAACGGCCACAUUGGGACUGAGACACGGCCCAGACUCCUACGGGAGGCAGCAGUGGGGAAUAUUGCACAAUGGGGGAAACCCUGAUGCAGCGACGCCGCGUGGAGGAAGAAGGUCUUCGGAUUGUAAACUCCUGUUGUUGAGGAAGAUAAUGACGGUACUCAACAAGGAAGUGACGGCUAACUACGUGCCAGCAGCCGCGGUAAAACGUAGGUCACAAGCGUUGUCCGGAAUUACUGGGUGUAAAGGGAGCGCAGGCGGGAAGACAAGUUGGAAGUGAAAUCCAUGGGCUCAACCCAUGAACUGCUUUCAAAACUGUUUUUCUUGAGUAGUGCAGAGGUAGGCGGAAUUCCCGGUGUAGCGGUGGAAUGCGUAGAUAUCGGGAGGAACACCAGUGGCGAAGGCGGCCUACUGGGCACCAACUGACGCUGAGGCUCGAAAGUGUGGGUAGCAAACAGGAUUAGAUACCCUGGUAGUCCACACCGUAAACGAUGAUUACUAGGUGUUGGAGGAUUGACCCCUUCAGUGCCGCAGUUAACACAAUAAGUAAUCCACCUGGGGAGUA